rnacentral:lncRNA from 1 species
GGUCUCUGCAUUGGCCAGGCAUGCAGAACAUUCUGUUCAGUACCACUGGACAGAGGGCCCCAUCUAGAUGAGACAGAGCUGGUGGGGCAGGACAAGGACUCCUGGGAGCUGAAAUGGCCUGGCAGAUGCUUGGUGAGAGGUGGCUUCUUGAGACAUUCCCAUUUCUGGGAAAAGAGUCACCUGGGAGGGGUGAGGCCAUGCUCCGGCUUGGAGGUGAAGGGAGAGGCCAC